rnacentral:misc_RNA from 1 species
GAAAUGCGAUAAGUAAUGUGAAUUGCAGAAUUCAGUGAAUCAUCGAAUCUUUGAACGCACCUUGCGCUCCUUGGUAUUCCUUGGAGCAUGCCUGUUUGAGUAUCAUGAAAUCUUCAAAGUAAAUCUUUUGUUAACUCAAUUGGUUUCUACUUUGGUAUUGGAGGUCUUUGCAGCUUCACACCUGCUCCUCUUUGUUCAUUAGCUGGAUCUCAGUGUUAUGCUUGGUUCCACUCGGCGUGAUAAGUUAUCUAUCGCUGAGGACACUGUGAAAGGUGGCCAAGGUAAAUGCAGAUGAACCGCUUCUAAUAGUCCAUUGACUUGGACAAUACUUUUAUGAUCUGAUCUCAAAUCAGGUAGGACUACCCGCUGAACUUAAGC